rnacentral:rRNA from 1 species
CACAUGACUCUCGGCAACGGAUAUCUUGGCUCUCGCAUCGAUGAAGAACGUAGCAAAAUGCGAUACCUGGUGUGAAUUGCAGAAUCCCGUGAACCAUCGAGUUUUUGAACGCAAGUUGCGCCCGAGGCCUUUUGGUCGAGGGCACGUCUGCCUGGGCGUCACGUC